rnacentral:rRNA from 1 species
AUGAACGCUGGCGCGUGCCUAACACAUGCAAGUCAACUUGACUGAAGGAGCAAUCUGACAGUAGAGUGGCGCAAGGGUGCGUAACGCGUAAGUAACUUGCCCCAAGGUAAGGAAUAACGUCGAGAAAUCGGCGCUAAUACCUCAUAAUGCAGCGGAUCCGCAUGGAUAUGUUGUUAAAGGUUUACCGCCUUGGGAUAGGCUUGCGUCUGAUUAGCUAGUUGGUGUGGUAACGGCACACCAAGGCUACGAUCAGUAACUGGUCUGAGAGGAUGAUCAGUCACACUGGAACUGAGACACGGUCCAGACUCCUACGGGAGGCAGCAGUGAGGAAUAUUGGGCGAUGCUCGAAAGAGUGACCCAGCAACGCCGCGUGGAGGAUGAAGGUAUUCUAUAUCGUAAACUCCUGUGAGAGCAGACGAAAGACAGAUUAUUAAUCUGGAUGACUGUAUGCUCAGAGGAAGCCCCGGCUAACUACGUG